CAACUGCUGCGAGUAAAACCCAGAACAGCUCUUAUUUCAGUCCGUGUUCCAAAUUUGGGAGGGCUCCGGGUUUUACUUGGUGUAGUUAUCUGGCUAACUCAGUAAUCCUGCUUUGUGAAACAGGGCCCUGGUCAGGGUCUCGCAUCACCUUGAGCCGGUGAGUGUUUGGUCACAGUGUUUUGGGAUGCUUGUGCUCGUGUCAGUGAAGCCUGCAGACAGAUCUACAAUCCGAGUGCUUUCUCAGGUGCUCUGCUCAGGAAUAUCUGGCUCUGCAUGGAGAGCAAAUUUAAAGCUUGGUUCAAUGUCCAGGGAGUGCCAGAGGUUGAGGUCAGUGGGGUCAGAGGUGAAAUAUGCAAGCUGCUCAGUCCAGUUAUUUAUUCGCUGACGUAACCAGCACCGGAAAUGGGAGCGUGGCUACAAUGUUACCAGACCAGACAUGCAGUCCUCCAGUACACCCACAUCUGGCCAUUAUAACCAUACCUUUUUACAUGCUGUUACUGUAUUUAUUUUUUCUGUUCAUUAGCGGUUUUGUUUUUAUCAAUGUUUUUAAUGGAAUGAAAUGUGAAGUGCUCCUGCACUGACAGACCAGUCUAUAUUGAAAAUGCCUUAAGUAUGCUUCUAGUACAGUGGUCUCCAACCCUGCUCCUGCAGAGCUACAGGGUCUGCUGGUUGUCAUAGUGAAUCUGCACUUCAUGAAGCAGUUGAGCAGUUGAUUACACAGUUAACUCAACUCACCUGGUGUCUUGGGUCUGAAUUGGGUGCUGAUUUUAAGGUGAAAACAAAAACCAGCAGACCCUGUAGCUCUCCAGGACCAGGGUUGGAGACUACUGUUCUAGUAUCAUGAAACUAGCUUUUCAAGAGAGAGAAGGUACUCAAGUCUGGCCCUCAAGGCCAGUACAGGUUUUAAUUCUUCCCCUCUUAUCAGGACUGAUUUAAACUUGAGAUACCAGGUGGGUAAAUCUCUCCAAAUCAGUGGCCUUAAUCAAUCAAUGAAUUAUCAGGUAUAAAAGAAAACCAGCUUUACUACUGGCCUUUAGAGCCAGAUUUAAGUAUCACUGAGGUAGAUCUGUCUACAGCAGGGGUACACUGCUCUAGUCCUUGGAGGGCUGGUGUGCCUGCAGGUUUUUAAUGUGUUCAGUGCUUAAUUUAAGUCACUGAUUGGUGAGAACAAUAAACAUUGUUCAGAAGGCCUAUGCUGAUAGAUUGGCUGCACUGAUUGAGAGGAAACCACAAAAACAUCAGCACUGUGGCCCUCCAUGAUUGAACGUAGAGGUGGACAAUCCAACUUCAGAAAAUAAGUCUUCCGUAGUAUUUUGCUCCAAUCACCUUGUUUUGCUAAUUCUUCAGCCAGGAGGUAAAACUAAUUAGUGAAAUCAGCUGGCUGACUUUAUAGGUAGAAGAAACACAAGACCGGACUUCUACUAUCUGACCCUUGGACUUUCCACCUCUGGACACCACUACACACCGAGUUUUCAACAAGAGGUUCAACAAAGUACAGUAGGGGGCAGUAUUCAUUCAACCAGCUGAUGCACAACCUAUUAAUGAAUCUAGCGGCGGAGAAUUCCUCGCACUAACAUGAAGGAAAAACUGUGCUGACAGGACCAGGACGAAGAGAUGAGAAGACCCUCCUAAUUUAGGAAGCUCCAGACUUCAUUGAGCCCAGCUGCAGGUGUGGGUGUUUGAUGGGGUACAGCUGGCUUUUUCAGGCCCUGACUGAGGACUUCUACUGUACUGCACUGGCUUACAGUCUGCUGAGACCUACAGGAAGAUGAAUGUGUAGAUUCUACAUGUAUGGCUGAUUCUCUCCUCCCUACUUCCUCAGUACAAGAGGCUCCAGUGCUAUUUUCCAGCUUAUGAAUAUUCAUGAAAAGGCAUGCACAAGGAAAGAACAUCCAUUACCACUACUGCUAUAUCUGAGCACAGUCAUUUUCAUGAAUAUUCAUAAGAUGAAUCAAAUUGCGACUAAGUUUAAUACAGAAAUUGCACUGUUAAGACGUUUAUUGCUAUAAAGUUUGUUGUCAACUUGUCAGGUUGCCCUUGAAAAAUAGAUUCUUCUCUCAAGGAACUUCCUGAUUAAAUCAAACUUAAAUGUAGGUUUAAAUGUGUGUGUUGUAGGUACUCCAGUCCUCUUCCAGCUCAUAAACUAUCACAUUAAUAUUAAUAUCUGCUAUCAUAACUCUUCAGGUUAUAAUCUCAA